rnacentral:rRNA from 1 species
GAUGAACGCUGGCGGCGUGCCUAAUACAUGCAAGUCGAGCGAACGGACGAGAAGCUUGCUUCUCUGAUGUUAGCGGCGGACGGGUGAGUAACACGUGGAUAACCUACCUAUAAGACUGGGAUAACUUCGGGAAACCGGAGCUAAUACCGGAUAAUAUUUUGAACCGCAUGGUUCAAAAGUGAAAGACGGUCUUGCUGUCACUUAUAGAUGGAUCCGCGCUGCAUUAGCUAGUUGGUAAGGUAACGGCCUACCAAGGCAACGAUGCAUAGCCGACCUGAGAGGGUGAUCGGCCACACUGGAACUGAGACACGGUCCAGACUCCUACAGGAGGCAGCAGUAGGGAAUCUUCCGCAAUGGGCGAAAGCCUGACGGAGCAACGCCGCGUGAGUGAUGAAGGUCUUCGGAUCGUAAAACUCUGUUAUUAGGGAAGAACAUAUGUGUAAGUAACUGUGCACAUCUUGACGGUACCUAAUCAGAAAGCCACGGCUAACUACGUG